AGCAAAGCUUGUAUAUAAAAUUUAGCUACAAUGUGCAAGAACAGCAAAGCACUUGGAACAAUAUUGCACUUUACAUUUGGGAGAUCUUUUCUACAAUACUAUACUAAGAAGCUUAAAAACCUACAUUCCCAAUAUUUUGCAUAGCACAAAAUCUUAAAACAUUGCAAAUUUUUCAGCGGGCGGGGCAAGCCACCAGGUUGUUCAACAUGAUUACUUUGCAGCUGCAACAAGUGCAGAUCUUGCUCGUGUAAAAGCAGAAAUCAGUGAUCCAAGCUGCAACUUAUCAUUGCAACCAAAAGUCAACCUAUACUCAAUAUCAGCCAUCUCAUUGAUCAGCUGAACUCGAACAUUUGCCGGCAUCUUAAUCUUGAAGACAAACAUGGUUACUUCUCUCACGAUAUCCACCAGAGCCAACCCUUUUCGUGUCUUGAUUUCUGAUAUUCGUUUGCAACUGAUAGCAAAGGGCUCAUUCAGAAGCCAGUAAGAGAUCUGCUCAAUGUCCUUGGGCAAUGGGUUUCCAGUGCACAGAUAGACAGCAUCUUCUGAAAUUUGCUGAGAAGCCAUGUGAGUUGACUGUAAAAUGUUUAAAGCUUUUCGCAUGUCACCAUUGCUUAAUCGUACAAGUGCCUUUAAACCACCCUCAGGGACAUCAAGCUGUUCAGCCUCAACAACAUGUUUCAGCCGCUCAGAGACAUGAACUGCAUCGAGUGGAGCGAACCUAAAUCGUGUACAUCGUGAUUGUAGGGCAGGAAUAACCUUGUUGACAUUGUUACAUAUCAAGGCAAACCUAGUGUUUCUUGUAUAUCUCUCAAUCACUCGACGCAGAGCAAACUGUGCAUCCUUUGUCAUUGCAUCUGCUUCAUCCAAUAGAACUAGCUUAACCGCUGACUUUGCACCAAAUGAGAUGCUCUGAGUACUAGCAAAGUCCUGAAUCUGCUGGCGCACCACAUCAAUCCCACGAUCAUCAGAGGCAUUCAGCUCUAAAACCAUAUUUUGCAUCUGAGAUCCAUAUAACUUCCGAGCAAGAGCAAGAAUUGUAGAUGUCUUUCCAGUUCCAGGAGGUCCAUAAAGCAGCAAAUGCGGUAACCGGUUACUACUCGCAAGCCUAUCAAUUGUUUCAACAAUAUCGCGAUGAGCAGCAACGUCUGAUAAAGACUGAGGACGAAACUUUUCGACCCAAGGAACUGAUUUCGGUUCAGUAUUGGAGACUAUAUUUUUGCCCUUGCUUGGUUUUGUGUCAAUUUUGUCGUCGUCGAUAUCCAUUGACGAGAUAGUCUCCG
rnacentral:misc_RNA from 1 species